AACGCGAAGAACCUUACCCGGGCUUGAACUACUCGUAGUAGGCCGAUAGAAACAUUGGCCGAUCCGCAAGGAAGCGAGCAGAGGUGCUGCAUGGUUGUCGUCAGCUCGUGUCGUGAGAUGUUGGGUUAAGUCCCGCAACGAGCGCAACCCUCAUCCCUAGUUGCCACCGGGUAAUGCCGAGCACUCUAGUGAAACCGCCCCGGAUAACGGGGAGGAAGGUGGGGAUGACGUCAAGUCCUCAUGGCCUUUAUGUCCAGGGCUACACACGUGCUACAAUGGUCGGUACAAACCGUCGCAAAGCUGCAAAGUGGAGCUAAUCGGAAAAAGCCGGCCUCAGUUCGGAUUGGAGUCUGCAACUCGACUCCAUGAAGCUGGAAUCGCUAGUAAUCGCAGAUCAGAACGCUGCGGUGAAUACGUUCCCGGGCCUUGUACACACCGAGUAUA
rnacentral:rRNA from 1 species